GUCGAGAAUUUUUCUCAAUGGGCGAAAGCCUGAAGGAGCGACGCCGCGUGGGGGACGAAGGGCUUCGGCUCGUAAACCCCUGUCAUUCGCGAGCAAACCUUUCCGUCGAACAGACGGAAAGCUGAUAGUAGCGAAAGAGGAAGGGACGGCUAACUCUGUGCCAGCAGCCGCGGUAAUACAGAGGUCCCAAGCGUUGUUCGGAUUCACUGGGCGUAAAGGGUGCGUAGGUGGUCGGUCAAGUUCGAUGUGAAAUCUCCGGGCUCAACUCGGAAAUGGCAUUGAAUACUGCCCGGCUGGAGGGUCGAAGGGGAGACUGGAAUUCUCGGUGUAGCAGUGAAAUGCGUAGAUAUCGAGAGGAACACCAGUGGCGAAGGCGAGUCUCUGGACGACUCCUGACACUGAGGCACGAAAGCUAGGGGAGCAAACAGGAUUAGAAACCCUAGUAGUCC
rnacentral:rRNA from 1 species